CUAAGUUUGAUGGCGACCGGCGCACGGGUGAGUAACACGUAUCCAACCUGCCGAUGACUCGGGGAUAGCCUUUCGAAAGAAAGAUUAAUACCCGAUGGCAUAGUUCUUCCGCAUGGUAGAACUAUUAAAGAAUUUCGGUCAUCGAUGGGGAUGCGUUCCAUUAGGUUGUUGGCGGGGUAACGGCCCACCAAGCCUUCGAUGGAUAGGGGUUCUGAGAGGAAGGUCCCCCACAUUGGAGCUGAGACACGGUCCAAACUCCUACGGGAGGCAGCAUG
rnacentral:rRNA from 1 species